rnacentral:rRNA from 1 species
GACGAACGCUGGCGGCGUGCCUAAUACAUGCAAGUUGAGCGAUGAAGAUUGGUGCUUGCACCAAUUUGAAGAGCAGCGAACGGGUGAGUAACGCGUGGGGAAUCUGCCUUUGAGCGGGGGACAACAUUUGGAAACGAAUGCUAAUACCGCAUAAUAACUUUAAACAUAAGUUUUAAGUUUGAAAGAUGCAAUUGCAUCACUCAAAGAUGAUCCCGCGUUGUAUUAGCUAGUUGGUGAGGUAAAGGCUCACCAAGGCGAUGAUACAUAGCCGACCUGAGAGGGUGAUCGGCCACAUUGGGACUGAGACACGGCCCAAACGCCUACGGGAGGCAGCAGUAGGGAAUCUUCGGCAAUAGACGAAAGGCUGAACGAGCAACGCCGCGUGAGUGAAGAAGGGUUUCGGAUCGUAAAACUCUGUUGGUAGAGAAGAACGUUGGUGAGAGUGGAAAGCUCAUCAAGUGACGGUAACUAACCAGAAAGGGACGGCUAACUACGUG